rnacentral:rRNA from 1 species
ACCCUGCGGCGAGCGGCGAACGGGUGAGCAAUACAUCGGAACGUGUCCAGUAGUGGGGGAUAACCAGUCGAAAGAUUGGCUAAUACCGCAUACGAUCUACGGAUGAAAGCGGGGGACCGCAAGGCCUCGCGCUAUUGGAGCGGCCGAUGUCCGAUUAGCUAGUUGGCGGGGUAACGGCCCACCAAGGCGACGAUCGGUAGCUGGUCUGAGAGGAUGAUCAGCCACACUGGAACUGAGACACGGUCCAGACUCCUACGGGAGGCAGCAGUGGGGAAUUUUGGACAAUGGGCGCAAGCCUGAUCCAGCCAUGCCGCGUGAGUGAAGAAGGCCUUCGGGUUGUAAAGCUCUUUCGGCGGGGACGAAACGGUUCGUGACAACACCACGAACUAAUGACGGUACUCGCAGAAGAAGCACCGGCUAACUACGUGCCAGCAGCCGCGGUAAUACGUAGGGUGCAGCGUUAAUCGGAAUUACUGGGCGUAAAGCGUGCGCAGGCGGUUCUUAAGUCAGAUGUGAAGC